AGAUUUCCGAAUGGGGAAACCCAGCAUGAGUUAUGUCAUGUUAUCGAUAUGUGAAUACAUAGCAUAUCAGAAGGCACACCCGGAGAACUGAAACAUCUUAGUACCCGGAGGAAGAGAAAGAAAAUUCGAUUCCCUUAGUAGCGGCGAGCGAAACGGGAAGAGCCCAAACCAACAAGCUUGCUUGUUGGGGUUGUAGGACACUCUAUACGGAGUUACAAAGGACGACAUUAGACGAAUCAUCUGGAAAGAUGAAUCAAAGAAGGUAAUAAUCCUGUAGUCGAAAAUGUUGUCUCUCUUGAGUGGAUCCUGAGUACGACGGAGCACGUGAAAUUCCGUCGGAAUCUGGGAGGACCAUCUCCUAAGGCUAAAUACUCUCUAGUGACCGAUAGUGAACCAGUACCGUGAGG
rnacentral:rRNA from 1 species